GUCGAAGAUAGAGUAGAGGGAGAUAUUAGAUGGUGGAGAAAAAUCUGAUGAAGACUCUCUUCUCUAUGAUUUUUCUCUCACCCAAAAUCCUAAAACAGUUCUAGAUCGCUCACCCGAGAGGAGAACGGUCUCCUUUUUGUUCACACCAAUGAAGAAGGAAACCUAUCCAAACCUCACACCCCAAAGAAGGAUUUUCACCCUUCUUUUUCUCUAACAUCUCAUGGUGAAAAGCUCUCUAUAUUUGGCACACAAAAUUAUGACUUUUUUAUGGUUGUCACACAAACUAGAUA
rnacentral:lncRNA from 1 species